rnacentral:misc_RNA from 1 species
CUGUUGGCCCACCUCGUCCAG